CACACCUUAAAUAUACCGAUAACUGUAGUAACAUUUGUAGUGUUGGUAUUUAUUAAUUGACGCAAGCUGAGAAAAACAAAUGUAAUUUUUCUGGAUGUCGUUUCUGAUUCUUCGUACAAUAACUGAUCUUGGUAAUUGAAAGUUGUUGUUUUUCAGAAUGAAUUCUUAAAUAUUAUUUAGACAAACUUCGGUUUCAAACGAUUAAAGCUUGAUGAUGAUUAUGUUGUUUGUUUUUAGUUUACAGUAUGCAAAUUCCAUAGUUCUGUCCUGUUAUGUGAACAGGAAGGGCAGAAAGUUUAAGCUGGUCCUGUUAUAAAGCAAGAAUAAUGGGAACAUGACUUAAAUAUUCAGAGUAGAAAUUUAUGCACAUCACAUGUCAUCUGGUGAAUUUAAUUUUAGCCGCUUUACGGAAGAGCAGCUGACCCCAUGAUUUUAAGUAUAUUCUGAUCCCGUCUACGUGUACUUGCUCUCAGCCAUCUGUCUGUAGUACGUGAGUGGAAAAUUUUAACUUGAAACAACUCUAUGCUAACAAAUUUAGCAAGAAAAUACUUCCAUUGUAUUAGAUUCGUUUUAUAAGUAAUAUAUAUAUAUAUAUAUGUGUGUGUAGAGAGAGAGGAACCAAUUUUAUGAUACAGACCUAAUAUUUUAAUUAAUUUAAAUAAUUCUGCUGACUUCGGUUAGGAUUGAAGAUUUGCAGUUGUAUUACUGAAACUCUCGAAGGAGUUUCAUGUAUGCAUGGCUAUAAACUAUUCCAAUUGUAUUUAGUUAAAUGUACAUUUUAUCGAAAAAUUCUGAAUUAAAUGUGCAGUUCAUUAUAAUGUGCUAAUUUUUUCCACGAUAAACCUUUUUUGAGAAAGUUGGUAAAGCUUGAUUUUGGUUUAUUGUAAACUAGGAGUCAUACUGAAAAAAAACACGAUCAAAUUUGUUAGUCCUGCAACAUUUAGUGUAGAUUCCCCAAACGCCAAAUUUCAUUUAAAUUAACACAUAUUGUUACUGAUACGUUUUUGUUUCUGGCUUGGCCUAUCAAGCAGAGUAACUGUACUGAUAUUAUUUACCGCUCUUGGCAACGGUAGUGGUUAGCACCUGAUGGCAUUACAAAAUAGUGGACUACGUCAGCGUCAGAAGACGUGACGUAACAAUAUAAUUUUAAGCUCGUUACUAACAUUACACAUGGAAUAGAAAUUUUAACUGUCAUGGUUUUAUUCCAUGCUGAACACAAAGUUUUUUGCAAUUUGUAUCAAUAAACUAAAAUAAUUAAGAAACAGUAAUAAUGUACGAAUGGAGUAACAAUUCUUAAAAGCCUUUCAGUUGUUAGAUGGUAGAAACAUUUUCGGCAUAACUGAUGGAUUAUUUUGAGCAGGGAAUAUGGCAAAAGAAUGCUGUUAACAUCGUCUUUAAGCUCAAAAUAUUUUCUGAUGCAGCGAGACUCCUACUAGAUUUUAAUAUUCCACGGUCAUUGGAGCUGUUGACCAAUGGAUCGACAGUAAGACUGUCAUGUGACCAUUGGUCAGAAGACAAUGGGCACGUAAUUUUGGCACAGUGACCGCGUGUAUUGUGUCCCUGAUGUAUAUCGUAUCUCUGUUCAAUUUACCUGUUGUUACGUCUUGCUGCUAUAAGGAUGUGAUAUCGCUCAUCACUGCAGAAUUUGACGAAACAUCGUAAGUGCUUUGUGGACGGUUUGUACCUAGAAGCGCAUUAAAAUUACAAAUUUAUGGAAAGAGAUCCAUGGGACGACCUAGAAGACGGUGGUUCAGCUAGUUAAUUAGAACACGAAGAGAAGGAAGAGCUGAAAAAAAAAGGGAAUAAAGCGAGAUGUCAAUUAUGAAACACGCGGUUAUAUUUUGGCUAACUUUGCUGUUGAGGCGUCUGUCUUGUUCUGCGGCAGAAGAGGAGAAGGCGAGAACCCGAGAAAGAUGGGACACUUACAUCGAUACUUAUGCAGACUUUCACGGCAACUCCCCGAGUCAAAAGUACGGUGCACCGUUUCCUUCUUAUAGUUCUCCUGGUCCUCAUAUUCAUCCUUUCUAUGGCCCUCCUUCGGGUCCGUCAGCACCCACUGGUCCCUCAGGACUAUUGCCAUAUGGACACCCCUUGCCUCACACCUACGGAGCGCCGUAUGCUGCCCCUGACAAUAGUUUCAGAGGAUUGGAUUUCGCGAUUUUAUGUAAGAUCAUUCUAAAAGUGCUCAUCUUUAAGAUGAUCGUGAAGUUUAUAGCAGUAAUUUGUGUCCUGCUUUUCCUGCCCAAACUAGACUCUGGAGGUUCAACUGGAGGGGACAGUAAAGUUCUUCUGUCCAAGGAAGACACGGGAAAUAAUUCAGACGAUCGUCUCAACAGACUAACUCGCUUUGUUAUGGACAGUGUUGAGAAGAAUGCAGCCCUUGAAAACAAUGAAGCUCUGUAGACGAAAUGCAGUGAAGGAUUAGGAAUCUCACUGAAUAGGCCAUGUUGAUGGCCGAAAUAUAGUUCUCAGAUGACUCACCAUACUGCAGCUGGAUUUCAAAUCAAAACAAUAAUAAUAUCGCAGGGAAAUGCCAACAAUCAUCUACUUAAAACGAACUUAUUAAAGCCACACGUGAAAAAAAAACAUCCUUGUUGUGAAAACAACGUGGAGUUGUGCAUAAACCACUUGAGGCAGAUUAGUAAAUUUUUCAUUUAAGUUAUUUAUAUGAAUUAAUUUAUUUUGUUUAUUUAAAUAUGUAAUUUUUUAAAAAAAUAAUUAUCUUAAAAUAUACGCGUAUAUGAAACCUUGUAACUCUUCUUCUGCUAGUGCAUUUGUUCCCAUGAAGGAUAUAACCAUACAUUUGCACUUCUAUUUACGUCUGUGCAGAAUAUCAGUGACAAUGAAAGGGUUCGACAUCUUUACAGCUGGGAAUUUGUUGAUAGUCGACAAGAAAUCGACCACCAACAUGGAGAUUGAGCGUCUGUCUGACAAUUUCUCACCAUAAAAGAAAGAUUGAGUUAUUAUAGUUUUUAAACUGAAUUUCUGAUUCUUUCCGCUUGUCUGAAUAAUAAAAUGUAUUUUCUGUCAAAUAAAUGAGAUCAGACUCAAAUGGGGCUGUUAAUUACAACAUAUCUCGUUUUGAACUCUGUUUUGUACAUGACUUACAUAAAAUAAGUGUGUCAACACAACACAAAUCUGAAAUAUAUGUGUAAUGAUCUAUUAUCACCCUCAGCUACAC